UUUCGGUUCGGAAUAACGUCUGGAAACGGACGCUAACACCGGAUACGUCCCCCAAGCGAUUGGGUGGAGAAAGUUUACGCCGAGAGAGGGGCCCGCGUCCGAUUAGGUAGUUGGUGAGGUAACGGCUCACCAAGCCGACGAUCGGUAGCUGGUCUGAGAGGAUGAUCAGCCACACUGGGACUGAGACACGGCCCAGACUCCUACGGGAGGCAGCAGUGGGGAAUAUUGGACAAUGGGCGCAAGCCUGAUCCAGCAAUGCCGCGUGAGUGAUGAAGGCCUUAGGGUUGUAAAGCUCUUUCGCACGUGACGAUGAUGACGGUAACGUGAGAAGAAGCCCCGGCUAACUUCGUGCCAGCAGCCGCGGUAAUACGAAGGGGGCUAGCGUUGUUCGGAAUUACUGGGCGUAAAGGGCGCGUAGGCGGUCCGCUCAGUCAGAAGUGAAAGCCCCGGGCUCAACCUGGGAAUUGCUUUUGAUACUGGUGGACUUGAGUUCCGGAGAGGAUGGUGGAAUUCCCAGUGUAGAGGUGAAAUUCGUAGAUAUUGGGAAGAACACCGGUGGCGAAGGCGGCCAUCUGGACGGACACUGA
rnacentral:rRNA from 1 species